rnacentral:lncRNA from 1 species
AAAAGAAUGGGUUAACCCUAGCUGGACCAGGCACCCAAGUGAAGUGGUCUGGGUGCCUAGAGUGGUCCUUUAAUUAUACAGUAAGCAUACUCACAUGCAGACAGACACACACGCUCAUUGAUACACAGCCUCAUAGACAAACAAUGUCACUGAUAUACAUAAGCUCAUUGGCAUAAAAACACAAGCUCACUCACUCACUCACGACAGCAUUAGUAAACAGCGAUAACAGUGUAGAACAUAUAUAUGACAUGAGAAAGUGGCACAGUUUUUAAGUAUAUUAAUACACAGGCUAGGCUUGCUUGUUUAACUUUAUAGGAGUGAAGGUAGAUGCAGGUAUAAAACAACUGAUGGUAAAGGCCUCGCUUAGUAUGUGUUGCUCGAUAAGAUUAAUUAUUAAGUCAUAUACAUUGUUUGUUCAAACCGUUUAGUUGUAUUAGCUAAGUUAGUAGGCUCAUUAUAAAACAAUAGAUAACGUAUAAGCUUUUGCUGACUAGUCUCGCUUAUCUGUCUGGGUGUUUAGAUUGAGUCUGCAGUUCGCUGUCCAACAACAGGCUUGUGAAAAGGAAAUGAAAGCAAAGACUUAAAUCAUAGUUAAAAUAGUUUAGGUACACAUUUUGCAUUACUGAGUUGGCAGACAACAUGGUAGGGUGCACUCGAUGCACUCUCAUGGCUAACAAGGUACUGGGCUAUGAAGUCAGUGGGUUACACACGAGUUGACAAAGCACCUAUUGCAAAGCUACAGAAAUGAGACAGACAUAGAAAAAAAAAAUCAAUAGGUGCUAAAUAGUAGAAAUCAACGAAAACCUUGCUCAUCUGCAUGAAAGAAUCCUUAGCAGUCAGGAAUUAAGCAUGGCAGCAGAAUGGGUAAGAUCAACAGGUGUCCCAAUGAUGCUUAUAGCGGGUGCGGGACCUAGGUAGCCAGUUUUAUGUUAGCUACUCAGCCAACGCCAGAUCUUGAGGCCCGCAGCUCUUUAGCAAGGAUCCGCUCUGUGACCGUGUGGCCCGCUGCAAGGUUGUGCCUAUGCUGGGCUCUCCACCAUCUCCCGGCUUCAGUGGGGGCUUGCUUCCCUGAUCCUCGGGUUUGGGUGUUCCCAGGAGCCAAGACCCUGCGCCGUCUGGAGACAGUAGGGGGUCUAGCCGUAAAGGACCGUCGGCGGCGGGCUGUCUUCCGCUUUUGAGGUGAAGUCGCUGAGGCUUUGCCUUUGGGAGGUCUCGGCACUGAAGGGCAGGCAUUGAGUUGAACUGGUGUUGCGUGUUUGCCUUGAGGAGGGCUGUUCGGUUUUGUUAGGAUGGUUCCCAUGCUGGCUGCACGGUGCUCAGUGAUGGGAGCUUGUGCCCGUUCAUGUAUACGUGCCCAAAAGCUCCGGAAUAUUUUGUCCAGCUUGUGCAGUGUGUGCUCCAGUGACCCAGGGUGAGGUGGUUUAGGCAGGCCCAGUGCUCCUUGUGCAGUGGAGGGGGCGGUCGCCAUUUUGCCUGAGCCACGUGGUCGGAGUUCAGCUCUUCUGCAGCCAGAAAGCGUAGGUAAGUACAGCUUGAAUCACAUACGAUAUGCCCGUGAGGACCGGGAUAACCCCCGCCGGUCCAAGGGGUGGGGGAUAGCAGUUAGAACGGGCCCGAGGUCUGGAAACAAGGAGAACGGCCGCUUCUCCCAGUCUCCCCUCCAAUAGGCCGCAACAGAGGUGUUCCGGUUCCCCGCCGGUUACAGGCCUGAGUAAGGUCUCGGAUUGUGCAGUCAGGUACCGGGGUUCAGAAGGUGCCGUGGGUGGGUUUGGUCGUCUGUUUGUAGGGUUUUAUUACCCCCAAAACACACUUGAGAUGCGGGACCUCUGAUUCCCCACGUCUGCUCAGCUCUGAAGCCAGGCUCCGCCCCCUAUAC